GGGUGCCAAGGCCGGCGCCGAGAUGGGUGUUGCUUCAUUCAUUUUCAGGCCCCUCUUGUCACCGAUGAUGCUCUGUAAUCGGGUGCCACUGACGACGAGGUCAUGUUGCGCUCGCGGGUGCACAGGGUGAAAUGACCUGAGCGGAGGGCUGGGAAAUGGCUCCGUCUGUGGAUCUGCUGCCGACGGUCCGGGCCGUGAGAUGCUGUUCUUAGAUGUGUUUCAAACAUUUACGACAGCCGCCAGCUUCACUCGCAUUCCCCCUCUGGAGGCGGGUCCUCCGAAGCGGUCUCUUGAUUGAGAUUGAAGUGAGCGUUGAAGGAGUUCAGAUCAUCUGGCGACGAGGGCUCGACCGUGCUUCAGCGGCCUGCGGUGGUUUGGAUCGUAUCCCGAUGGUUCGGUGCAAAGUCUCCUUUGUCGUCUGACCCGAGAAUUUUCAGGCCUUGGUGAGGAAGUUUUAAACUACCUGGUAAAAUGGGCGUCCUGCAAAACAUCGACUGAACUUUGCAGCAUGGCAAAUAAAUACUGUGUAUGCAGAACAAAAAUGAGCAGUGGAUGAUUCCACCGUGAAGGCAGAAAUGUGCAAAGAGCCUUGGACCAACUCCAACCUCAUCAGAGGGGCACAUUUAUUUCAGUCAGAAAUGCAUUGGCUUUAAUUUCACGCUGCGCGCAUUUCGAUACCAGCAAGAGGGUGGAAAAAGAGGAGCCGGGAGAAAAAGGGAAGUUUCAUUUUUACCAGAAGUCCUGAUACCAAAGACAAUCAAAGGUGCACACUUACAAAGGAAGAGGUAAAACGCAAGGAGAGGAUGUUCAUGUUUAUUCACUCGUUUAUUCACAUUAUGUAUUUAUUCACCAUGAGAAUUUCCUUGUAUGUUCAACAUACCAUGCAAAUAAAUGUUUCUGAUUGUGAUUUAGAGGAGUGUGGGGGGGAUUAGAAUUUUGUUAAAAUAAUUAAAUUUGUUCGCGUUUGAUUUUCUGGAACUGACCCUUUUAAAAAAUAUAUUUUGCGGAGUCAAAGAUGAGCUCCUGGCAGAAGAAUCUUUAAGAGGGAUAAACGCUCUCGUCUAACACUGAAAAUCUCCGACAAGGC
ensembl:lncRNA